CCCUUAGAUGUUCUGGGCUGCACGCGCGCUACACUGAAGCUAUCAACACGUUUUCCCUCCCUGAGAAGGGCGGGUAACCUUUUGAAUCAGCUUCGUGGUAGGGAUCGGGGCUUGCAAUUGUUCCCCGUGAACCAGGAAUUCAUAGUAGACGCGAGUCAUAAGCUCGCAUCGAUUAAGUCCCUGCCCUUUGUACACACCGCCCGUCGCUACUACCGAUUGAACGUUUUAGUGAGGCAUUUGGACCGACGCAUCUCAGUUUAACCGCUGGUUUGUGUUGGAAAGACUUCCAAACUUGAGCGUUUAGAGGAAGUAAAAGUCGUAACA
rnacentral:rRNA from 1 species